rnacentral:rRNA from 1 species
UACGUAGGGACCAAGCGUUGUCCGGAAUCAUUGGGCGUAAAGCGCGCGUAGGUGGCUUCGUAAGUCCGUUGUGAAAGUCAAAGGCUCAACCUUUGAAAGCCGAUGGAUACUGCGGAGCUAGAGUACGGAAGAGGCGAGUGGAAUUCCUGGUGUAGCGGUGAAAUGCGCAGAUAUCAGGAGGAACACCGAUGGCGAAGGCAGGUCUCUGGGCCGAUACUGACGCUGAGGAGCGAAAGCGUGGGGAGCGAACAGG